UGCAUCUGUAGCCAGUGAGGAUGAGAACCUCCGGGGGCAGGAGGUUCGACUCGAGCGCAGCGAGAGAACGUUGCGUCAGCAACGUCCCGCAGGGCGAGCCACGUAGUGGCGAGUCAUCCUCUAUCACCGACCA
rnacentral:sRNA from 1 species